rnacentral:rRNA from 1 species
AACGAACGCUGGCGGCAUGCCUAACACAUGCAAGUCGAACGAGACCUUCGGUCUUGUUGCUCACGGGCGCGUCACGCGGGGGAACCUUGCCUUAGGAUCGGCAUGACUUUCCGGAAGGGGUGCCAAAAACGGGUAAUGAUACCGCAUCAAAGAUUUGACGGCUUAGGAUGGGUCCUCGGUGGAUUUGCUAGUUGGUAGGGUAAAAUCCUACUAACGCGACGGUCCAUAGCUGGUCUGCGAGGACGAUCAGCCACACCGGGGCUGAGAGACAGCCCGGACUCCUAGGGGAUGCGGCAGAGGGGAAUAUUGGAAAGUGGGCGAAAGCCUGAUCCAGCAAUGCCGCGUAAGUGAUGAAGGCCUUGGGGUUGUAAAGCUCUUUUACCCGGGAUGGUAAUGACAGUACCGGGAGAAUAAGCACCGGCUAACUCCGUG